UGGUAGCUGGGUAAGGUGAUGAUCCUCGAUGUCUUUGCUGCAAUGGAUGCAAAACUCAAGCAACGUUUGAGGAUCUGGAACGUUCUCAUUUAGCUUCUCAUAUUCAAAAGUCCAGUGAACCAAGCAGCUGCCCUCUCCCUUGGGAGUAGCUUGAACGAUGACUAUGAAAUUCUUGUACUCCGUGG